rnacentral:rRNA from 1 species
AUUGAACGCUGGCGGCAGGCCUAACACAUGCAAGUCGAACGCGAGGAGGACGGGUGAGUAAUAUCUGGGACACUGCCCGAUGUAGGGGGAUCACUACUUGAAACGGUAGCUAAUAACGCAUACCAUCGGAUGUGCUCAGAUGGGAUUGUCUAGUAGGUGGGGUAACGGCUCACCUAGGCGACGAUCCCUGGCUGGUCUGUGAGGAUAACAAGCCAACCUGGAACUGAGAACCGGUCCAGCCGCCUACGGGAGGCAGCGGUGGGGAAUAUUGCACCAUGGGCGCAAGCCUGAUGCAGCCAUGCCGCGUGUAUGAAGAGGGCCUUCGGGUUGUAAAGUACUUUCAGCGAGGAGGCGUUACUCGCAGAAGAAGCACCGGCUAACUCCGUGCCAGCAGCCGCGGUAAUAC